CGGAAAUUUAGAAAUGAUCCAUGUAAACUUGUCGCUCCUUUAAAUAAACUUAUUCUAAAAGGUUACCUAUUCAACACUGUAAUAAGAUCAAUGAAUAUUGUUUUUAUUGGUAUAAAUAUUGAUUUUGUUAUCAGUAAAUUAAAAGCUAACUAAAUAUUACUAGUAUGUUAUAUGCAUAUACAUAUUCAUGGAUCUACAAUCUGUCGAUACCUGUAACUUGGCAUUGCACAAGGUCAUGUUUUUCUCUGGCUGUUUAUGACGUCUUUACACUAAAUCCAUUGGAUGUUGGAUGUGUACGGAUUGAUAGUUUAGUCUUAGAUGCAUGAUUUUUUUAUUAGUUGUUAGUGGCUUUGAACUAGCUGUCAGAUAACUGCGAGUACUCUCAGAUCUGUUCAUUGUGUCUUUUUGUGUCGGGAUGUAUAAGUACCGGGCCACGUCCACUUGUAUUUUUGUCCAUCUGAUGAGUUAAGCCUUUUUCAACUGAUUUUUAUAGUUCGUUCUUAUGUUGUACUGUUAUACCACUGUCCCAGGUUAGGGGGGGGUUGGGAUCCCGCUAACAUGUUUAACCCCGCCACAUUAUUUAUGUAUGUGCCUGUCCCAAGUCAGGAGCCUGUAAUUCAUUGGUUGUCGUAUGUUUGUGUGUUACAUAUUUGUUUUUCGUUCAUUUUUUUACAUAAAUAAGGCCGUUAGUUUUUCUCGUUUGAAUUGUUUUACAUUGUCUUAUCGGGGCCUUUUAUAGCUGACUAUGCGGUAUGGGCUUUGCUCAUUGUUGAAGGCCGUACGGUGAUCUAUAGUUGUUAAUGUCUGUGUCAUUUUGGUCUUUUGUGGAUAGUUGUCUCAUUGGCAAUCAUACCACAUCUUCUUUUUUAUAU
rnacentral:lncRNA from 1 species